rnacentral:rRNA from 1 species
GACGAACGCUGGCGGCGUGCCUAAUACAUGCAAGUUGAGCGCUGAAGGUUGGUACUUGUCCCGACUGGCUGAGCAGCGAACGGGUGAGUAACGCGUGGGGAAUCUGCCUUUGAGCGGGGGACAACAUUUGGAAACGAAUGCUAAUACCGCAUAAAAACUUUAAACACAAGUUUUAAGUUUGAAAGAUGCAAUUGCAUCACUCAAAGAUGAUCCCGCGUUGUAUUAGCUAGUUGGUGAGGUAAAGGCUCGCCAAGGCGAUGAUACAUAGCCGACCUGAGAGGGUGAUCGGCCACAUUGGGACUGAGACACGGCCCAAACUCCUACGGGAGGCAGCAGUAGGGAAUCUUCGGCAAUGGACGAAAGUCUGACCGAGCAACGCCGCGUGAGUGAAGAAGGGUGUCGGAUCGUAAAACUCUGUUGGUAGAGAAGAACGUUGGUGAGAGUGGAAAGCUCAUCAAGUGACGGUAACUACCCAGAAAGGGACGGCUAACUACGUG